rnacentral:rRNA from 1 species
GAUGAAGGACGUGCUAAUCUGCGAUAAGCGUCGGUAAGGUGAUAUGAACCGUUAUAACCGGCGAUUUCCGAAUGGGGAAACCCAGUGUGUUUCGACACACUAUCAUUAACUGAAUCCAUAGGUUAAUGAGGCGAACCGGGGGAACUGAAACAUCUAAGUACCCCGAGGAAAAGAAAUCAACCGAGAUUCCCCCAGUAGCGGCGAGCGAACGGGGAGCAGCCCAGAGCCUGAAUCAGUGUGUGUGUUAGUGGAAGCGUCUGGAAAGGCGCGCGAUACAGGGUGACAGCCCCGUACACAAAAAUGCACAUGCUGUGAGCUCGAUGAGUAGGGCGGGACACGUGGUAUCCUGUCUGAAUAUGGGGGGACCAUCCUCCAAGGCUAAAUACUCCUGACUGACCGAUAGUGAACCAGUACCGUGAGGGAAAGGCGAAAAGAACCCCGGCGAGGGGAGUGAAAAAGAACCUGAAACCGUGUACGUACAAGCAGUGGGAGCACGCUUAGGCGUGUGACUGCGUACCUUUUGUAUAAUGGGUCAGCGACUUAUAUUCUGUAGCAAGGUUAACCGAAUAGGGGAGCCGAAGGGAAACCGAGUCUUAACUGGGCGUUAAGUUGCAGGGUAUAGACCCGAAACCCGGUGAUCUAGCCAUGGGCAGGUUGAAGGUUGGGUAACACUAACUGGAGGACCGAACCGACUAAUGUUGAAAAAUUAGCGGAUGACUUGUGGCUGGGGGUGAAAGGCCAAUCAAACCGGGAGAUAGCUGGUUCUCCCCGAAAGCUAUUUAGGUAGCGCCUCGUGAAUUCAUCUCCGGGGGUAGAGCACUGUUUCGGCAAGGGGGUCAUCCCGACUUACCAACCCGAUGCAAACUGCGAAUACCGGAGAAUGUUAUCACGGGAGACACACGGCGGGUGCUAACGUCCGUCGUGAAGAGGGAAACAACCCAGACCGCCAGCUAAGGUCCCAAAGUCAUGGUUAAGUGGGAAACGAUGUGGGAAGGCCCAGACAGCCAGGAUGUUGGCUUAGAAGCAGCCAUCAUUUAAAGAAAGCGUAAUAGCUCACUGGUCGAGUCGGCCUGCGCGGAAGAUGUAACGGGGCUAAACCAUGCACCGAAGCUGCGGCAGCGACGCUUAUGCGUUGUUGGGUAGGGGAGCGUUCUGUAAGCCUGCGAAGGUGUGCUGUGAGGCAUGCUGGAGGUAUCAGAAGUGCGAAUGCUGACAUAAGUAACGAUAAAGCGGGUGAAAAGCCCGCUCGCCGGAAGACCAAGGGUUCCUGUCCAACGUUAAUCGGGGCAGGGUGAGUCGACCCCUAAGGCGAGGCCGAAAGGCGUAGUCGAUGGGAAACAGGUUAAUAUUCCUGUACUUGGUGUUACUGCGAAGGGGGGACGGAGAAGGCUAUGUUGGCCGGGCGACGGUUGUCCCGGUUUAAGCGUGUAGGCUGGUUUUCCAGGCAAAUCCGGAAAAUCAAGGCUGAGGCGUGAUGACGAGGCACUACGGUGCUGAAGCAACAAAUGCCCUGCUUCCAGGAAAAGCCUCUAAGCAUCAGGUAACAUCAAAUCGUACCCCAAACCGACACAGGUGGUCAGGUAGAGAAUACCAAGGCGCUUGAGAGAACUCGGGUGAAGGAACUAGGCAAAAUGGUGCCGUAACUUCGGGAGAAGGCACGCUGAUAUGUAGGUGAAGCGACUUGCUCGUGGAGCUGAAAUCAGUCGAAGAUACCAGCUGGCUGCAACUGUUUAUUAAAAACACAGCACUGUGCAAACACGAAAGUGGACGUAUACGGUGUGACGCCUGCCCGGUGCCGGAAGGUUAAUUGAUGGGGUUAGCCGCAAGGCGAAGCUCUUGAUCGAAGCCCCGGUAAACGGCGGCCGUAACUAUAACGGUCCUAAGGUAGCGAAAUUCCUUGUCGGGUAAGUUCCGACCUGCACGAAUGGCGUAAUGAUGGCCAGGCUGUCUCCACCCGAGACUCAGUGAAAUUGAACUCGCUGUGAAGAUGCAGUGUACCCGCGGCAAGACGGAAAGACCCCGUGAACCUUUACUAUAGCUUGACACUGAACAUUGAGCCUUGAUGUGUAGGAUAGGUGGGAGGCUUUGAAGUGUGGACGCCAGUCUGCAUGGAGCCGACCUUGAAAUACCACCCUUUAAUGUUUGAUGUUCUAACGUUGACCCGUAAUCCGGGUUGCGGACAGUGUCUGGUGGGUAGUUUGACUGGGGCGGUCUCCUCCUAAAGAGUAACGGAGGAGCACGAAGGUUGGCUAAUCCUGGUCGGACAUCAGGAGGUUAGUGCAAUGGCAUAAGCCAGCUUGACUGCGAGCGUGACGGCGCGAGCAGGUGCGAAAGCAGGUCAUAGUGAUCCGGUGGUUCUGAAUGGAAGGGCCAUCGCUCAACGGAUAAAAGGUACUCCGGGGAUAACAGGCUGAUACCGCCCAAGAGUUCAUAUCGACGGCGGUGUUUGGCACCUCGAUGUCGGCUCAUCACAUCCUGGGGCUGAAGUAGGUCCCAAGGGUAUGGCUGUUCGCCAUUUAAAGUGGUACGCGAGCUGGGUUUAGAACGUCGUGAGACAGUUCGGUCCCUAUCUGCCGUGGGCGCUGGAGAACUGAGGGGGGCUGCUCCUAGUACGAGAGGACCGGAGUGGACGCAUCACUGGUGUUCGGGUUGUCAUGCCAAUGGCACUGCCCGGUAGCUAAAUGCGGAAGAGAUAAGUGCUGAAAGCAUCUAAGCACGAAACUUGCCCCGAGAUGAGUUCUCCCUGACUCCUUGAGAGUCCUGAAGGAACGUUGAAGACGACGACGUUGAUAGGCCGGGUGUGUAAGCGCAGCGAUGCGUUGAGCUAACCGGUACUAAUGAACCGUGAGGCUUAACCUU